rnacentral:lncRNA from 1 species
CACAAUUUGCCCAUAGGCCAUAUCAGACUUGUGUGUAUUAUCAUACUAUAAGCUAUACCUUGUAGAAAACAUUGUGCAACCAAACCCACAGUGACAUUAAUUUAAAAGACCCGAUGACUAUGCAACCAAAUUGGCAGACAGAGUGCAAAAUAAUGCAACAAAAUAGAUCAGAAGAUGAACAAUCUGCAAGUAGAACCUCAAAAUACAAGAAUGCUUGUUUUGUGGUUUCGAAGAAUUGACCUAAGAAAGCUUCAAAUGAAGGCAAGGCCGAGUAGCAAUGUACCUAGAUCAGCAGCCCAUUUUUUAGAUGGUGUAGCUGGCAAGUCUUCAAGUCUGCAAUGUAACUCGAUCUACAGAGCUUCCCCAAAUCAAAUGUUAACCUACAACAAAAUAAAGCCUCCACCUGCCAAACUCACAUGCCUAGUGCUGAUAACUUCCUAACGGCAAAAUGUAAGGCAAUGGAAAGAAGUCAGUAUAAAUACAAUCGAAUCAAGUAAAAGAGUUGAGGCAUCUGAGACCUCACAUUAGUGGCCCUCGUAGCCCUCAAACACCUCGCUCAUGACUGCUUCCCUUGACCACCUCCAUCU